UACGGAAGGCAGCAGUGGGGAAUAUUGCACAAUGGGCGAAAGCCUGAUGCAGCUAUGCCGCGUGUAUGAAGAAGGCCUUAGGGUUGUAAAGUACUUUCAUCGGGGAGGAAAAAACAAAACUAAUAAUUUUAUUUCUUGACGUUACCCGAAAAAGAAGCACCGGCUAACUCCGUGCCAGCAGCCGCGGUAAUACGGAGGGUGCUAGCGUUAAUCAGAAUUACUGGGCGUAAAGAGCACGUAGGUGGUUUUUUAAGUCAGAUGUGAAAUCCCUGGGCUUAACCUAGGAACUGCAUUUUGAAACUGAAAUACUAGAGUAUCGUAGAGGGAGGGUAGAAUUCUAGGUGUAGCGGUGAAAUGCGUAGAUAUCUGGAGGAAUACCUGUGGCGAAAGCGGCCUCCUAAACGAAUACUGACACUGAGGUGCGAAAGCGUGGGGAGCAAACAGGGAUUAGAUACC
rnacentral:rRNA from 1 species